rnacentral:rRNA from 1 species
UACGUAGGGUGCAAGCGUUAAUCGGAAUUACUGGGCGUAAAGCGUGCGCAGGCGGUUUUGUAAGUCUGUCGUGAAAUCCCCCGGGCUCAACCUGGGAAUGGCGAUGGAGACUGCAAGGCUAGAAUCUGGCAGAGGGGGGGUAGAAUUCCACGUGUAGCAGUGAAAUGCGUAGAUAUGUGGAGGAACACCGAUGGCGAAGGCAGCCCCCUGGGCUAAGAUUGACGCUCAUGCACGAAAGCGUGGGGAGCAAACAGG